rnacentral:rRNA from 1 species
UACGUAGGGAGCGAGCGUUGUCCGGAAUCAUUGGGCGUAAAGCGCGCGUAGGCGGCCCGAUAAGUCCGCUGUAAAAGUCAACGGCUCAACUGUUGAAAGCCGGUGGAUACUGUCGGGCUAGAGUACGGAAGAGGCAAGUGGAAUUCCUGGUGUAGCGGUGGAAUGCGUAGAUAUCGGGAGGAACAUCAGUGGCGAAGGCGGCUACCUGGCCCAAUACUGACACUCAGGUGCGACAGCGUGGGGAGCAAACAGG